rnacentral:rRNA from 1 species
AGAGUUUGAUCAGUGGCUCGAGGACGAACGCUGGCGGCGUGCCUAACACAUGCAAGUCGAACGAGGUCCAAGGAAGCUUGCUUCCUGAAGACCUAGUGGCGAACGGGUGAGUAACACGUGAGAAACCUGCCUCGGAGUGGGGAAUAACUCGGGGAAACUCGAGCUAAUACCGCAUACCUUCACAUGAUCGCAUGGUCGAGUGAAGAAAGAAUUUCGCUCUGAGAGGGUCUCGCGGCCUAUCAGCUUGUUGGUGGGGUAACGGCCUACCAAGGCAACGACGGGUAGCUGGUUUGAGAGAACGAUCAGCCACACUGGGACUGAGACACGGCCCAGACUCCUACGGGAGGCAGCAGUGGGAAUCUUGCGCAAUGGGCGAAAGCCUGACGCAGCAACGCCGCGUGCGGGAUGACGGCCUUCGUGGUUGUAAACCGCUUUCAGCAGGGACGAAAAUGACGGUACCUGCAGAAGAAGCCCCGGCUAACUACGUG